rnacentral:rRNA from 1 species
AACAAACGCUGGCGGCGUGCCUAAUACAUGCAAGUCGAACAGGGAAAGCUUUCGGGUGAGUACUAGUGGCGCACGGGUGAGUAACGCGUGGAUAAUCUGCCUUGAAGAGGGGGAUAACCAGUCGAAAGAUUGGCUAAUACCGCAUAAGACCACAGGAACUGAGGUUCUAGAGGUCAAAGGUUUUUCGCUUCAAGAUGAGUCCGCGUAAGAUUAGCUAGUUGGUGAGGUAACGGCUCACCAAGGCGACGAUCUUUAACUGGUCUGAGAGGAUGAUCAGUCACACUGGAACUGAGACACGGUCCAGACUCCUACGGGAGGCAGCAGUAGGGAAUAUUGCACAAUGGAGGAAACUCUGAUGCAGCGACGCCGCGUGAGUGAUGAAGGCCUUCGGGUCGUAAAGCUCUGUCGCAGGGGAAUAACACAAUGAAGGUACCCUGUAAGAAAGGAUCGGCUAACUUCGUGCCAGCCGCCGCAGUAAUAC